GUGUCAGCCGCCGCGGUAAUACGAAGGGGGCUAGCGUUGUUCGGAAUCACUGGGCGUAAAGAGCACGUAGGCGGACUUGUUAGUCAGGGGUGAAAUCCCGGGGCUCAACCUCGGAACUGCCCUUGAAACUGCAAGUCUUGAGUCCGAGAGAGGUGAGUGGAAUUCCUAGUGUAGAGGUGAAAUUCGUAGAUAUUAGGAAGAACACCAGUGGCGAAGGCGGCUCACUGGCUCGGAACUGACGCUGAGGUGAGAAAGCGUGGGGAGCAAACAGGAUUAGAUACCCUGGUAGUCCACGCCGUAAACGAUGGAUGCUAGCCGUCGGCAAGCUUGCUUGUCGGUGGCGCAGCUAACGCAUUAAGCAGCCCGCCUGGGGAGUACGGCCGCAAGGUUAAAACUUAAAUGAAUUGACGGGG
rnacentral:rRNA from 1 species